UCUCCGUUGGUGAACCAGCGGAGGGAUCAUUAUAGAACAGUUUACUGCUCUUCAACCCCUGUGAACUUACCUUAUUAUUCUCCGGCGGAACGCCCCGGUGCCUUCGGGGCCGGACCAGGCGCCCGCCGGGGUACACUAAACUCUGUUUGUACCCUGUAUACCUCAGAAUUAGGCGUAAAGCCGAAAUGUAACAACUUUUGACAAUGGAUCUCUUGGCACUGGCAUCGAUGAAGAACGCAGC
rnacentral:misc_RNA from 1 species